ensembl:misc_RNA Metazoa_SRP Metazoan signal recognition particle RNA
ACUGGAUGUGGUGGCUUGUGCCUAUAGUCCCAGCUACUCGGGAGGCUGAGGUGGGGAGAUCAAUCGCUUGAGCCCAGGAGUUCUGGGCUGUAGUGCCCUAUGCCGAUCAGGCGUCUGCAUUAAGUUAGGCAUCAAUGUGGUGACCUCCCGGAAGCAGGGAACCACCAGGUUGCCUAAGGAGGGGUAAACUGGCCAAGGUCAGAAAUGGAGCAGGUCAAAACUCCCAUGCUGAUCAGUAGUGAGAUCAUGCCUGUGAAUACCCACUGCAUUCUAGCCUGGGCAACAUAGCGAGUCCCUGUCUCUC